rnacentral:rRNA from 1 species
UACGUAGGGAGCAAGCGUUGUCCGGAAUCAUUGGGCGUAAAGCGCGCGUAGGUGGCUUCGUAAGUCCGUUGUGAAAGUCAAAGGCUCAACCUUUGAAAGCCGAUGGAUACUGCGGAGCUAGAGUACGGAAGAGGCGAGUGGAAUUCCUGGUGUAGCGGUGGAAUGCGCAGAUAUCAGGAGGAACACCAAUAGCGAAGGCAGCUCGCUGGGACGUUACUGACACUGAGGCGCGAAAGCGUGGGGAGCGAACGGG